rnacentral:misc_RNA from 1 species
CUACCUUUGUCGGGUGUUCCUAAUAACAUUGAUCGGCCUAGCUCAGAAAUGAUACCAGCACCUCAGGCCUUAGUCAAUCUAGAAUUUUUACUAGCUCUUCAUUGAGUUUAAGAACAAGUUCAUCUCCUACAUUUCACCAAAAAAGCUAUCUUUGGAUCUUUAGAAAGUAAAGCAGUAGGAGGGGGAGUCUUUGAGGGAGUACAUUGCUUGAUUUAAUGCUGAAGCAAUACAAGUUAAAAACUUGAAUCAUGGGACCGCGUGUGUGGCUUUGAAGAGGGGACAAGGAAUGUCAAGUUUUCUGAUUUGUUGAUCGAGAACUCGGU